UUAUUUGUAGAACCUGUUCAACGGAAUAAGCGACGCAUAGUGCUCUAACAAAAUACACAAAACUAAUUGCACGCAUGAACGCGCCGCCGUACAAACCGAACAACUAAACAUGCGCUUGCAUCAGACGCGUUUGGUUGGCGCAUUGCGCUCGCUUUGGUUGGAUUUGAAUGUCGUGCCGCCGCACGCAACAAAGUCAAAGAACAGUGGCAAUAUGGCAAUGGCAGCAGUGACAACAACGCUGACGCGCUGCUGCGACAGUGACGCGACGUUCAACGACGGCGCAAUGAACUGCAACGCGGAUCAUUGGUGGAUUUGCAAGCGCACACAAGCAAAACGUGCUCACCAAUGCGCACACAUACUCAUAUGUACGAAAGCGCGUUGGUUUAGGUGAGCGCUUGGCAUGCAUGCAUUUCGCCGUCGCUCAACAGAAAGCUGCACACACACUUUGACUUUUGAGUGAGCAAAUUUAAAGCUAAGGCGCCGCUAAGCGCAACUUCAACGUGAGUGGAAAUCGUGCAAUGGCUUCGGUAUAUACAUGUGUGUGUGUUUGUGUAGUAUGUAUGCCUGUAUAGACUGCGUCGGCGUUUUACCCCUUUUAUACUACAGUGCGCGCAAAAGCUAUUGGUGUAUGUGCAUAAAAGCAUACAUAUGUAUUAGUCGUUAUAUACCAUAAAUGUAUAGUUGGACUUACACAAAUAAAGCUAAAAAUGUGAGUGUGUGUGUGUAUUGGUGGCGUUGAAGGAAAGUAUAGCGCAACGCUACUGCGCAGGGGUAUUUUU